GUGGGGAAUAUUGCACAAUGGGCGCAAGCCUGAUGCAGCAACGCCGCGUGAGGGACGACGGCCUUCGGGUUGUAAACCUCUUUUAGCAGGGAAGAAGCGAAAGUGACGGUACCUGCAGAAAAAGCACCGGCUAACUACGUUCCAGCAGCCGCGGUAAUACGUAGGGUGCAAGCGUUGUCCGGAAUUAUUGGGCGUAAAGAGCUCGUAGGCGGUUUGUCGCGUCUGCUGUGAAAACCCGAGGCUCAACCUCGGGCCUGCAGUGGGUACGGGCAGAAUAGAGUGCGGUAGGGGAGAUUGGAAUUCCUGGUGUAGCGGUGGAAUGCGCAGAUAUCAGGAGGAACACCGAUGGCGAAGGCAGAUCUCUGGGCCGUAACUGACGAUGAGGAGCGAAAGCGUGGGGAGCGAACAGGAUUAGAAACCCCAGUAGUCC
rnacentral:rRNA from 1 species